UUUGCUCUGUGGUGCAACACUGUAGUUUUGGUCGAAGAACUUCUUGGUGAUACUGAAGGAGCCUUUUUUCUGUGAGAAAGGAUGGUUCUUAAAGCACUGACACGUAAAAGCGUAACAAUUAGUGUUAUCCUGUUCGGAGGAGUUUUUGGUGGAGCUCUUGGCCUUUAUAUUCGAGAUAAUUGGGAUAUUGAAGCCAGGGAGGCCCGUGUUGCUGAGCUUGAACAACUAGUGAUAGAAAAAGAAGCCAUUGUGAAGAGACUGAAAGAGAGUAUAGGUGAAAGGAAAUAACCAGGAGCAAGUCAAGGAAUGAAACUGUCUAAUAUUGAAACAGUGCAGAAAAUGAAGUGCAUUGAUGCAAAUUUACACUCUGUUUGUUCUUGACUCAGGGUCAAGUUGUAAAGAAAUGCUUUGGAAUAUGAAGUUUGUAUCACUUAAAGUAAAAGAGGCUGGCAACUUUGAAUCUACAGCUGUAAUUAGAAAUUCUUUGGUUCUUGACUUUAUUAUUUGACUCAAGGGGUACUUGAUACAAGACUGUUGGGAAAUAAUUAUUUUCUGCAUUUAUUUCUUUUAGUGCUAUGAGCUCUUUUAAGCCAAUUAAAUUUUGAUGAAACAUGU